CUGCAUCGGCAAAAAAACCCUAGCCGCCACAGCCCGCGCGCGCUCCCUUCACGCCGCCACAACCCGUCACCACGCGUGCUGCCUUCACCGCGCGCUCCCCUCUUCACGGCGGAGAAGGCCGCGGAGGCGCGUGUCGUCGUUGUCCCCGUGGUGGAGGCGCGUGUCGUCGUCGUCCCGUCGGUGUCGUCGUCCCCGUGGUGGAAACCCUUCUUCGGCAAUGAUUUUGUUCUCCAUUCAUGGGAUGAUCCACGGGACAUCGCGCUCCGUCAUAUCACCUUUUCGGCGCCGUCGGCCGCUCGCUCCUUCUUCUCCGUCAUCGGUCGCAAGAUGGAGAACCACCACAACUUCAGGGACUUCUUAUCCCAAGGUUGCUCUUCAUCGACGUCCAAGAACCGCACUGGUCAUGAAGCUCCCGAGGACGACGACUUCGACACCUUCUCGCAGUCGUCGUUUGCUCUGCCACCGCGCAUCAACGUUCCAGCACCUCGCAGCCGCAUUGAAGCUCUUGAUCUGAACUCCUAG
rnacentral:misc_RNA from 1 species